AGGGAGUUCUGCCCCUGCCAAGGGGUGCUGGCCACGCAGGAGGCUUAACCUGGCCGGCGCGGGAAUGGGGUGCAGAGAGCAAAGAAAUGUGGCUUUGAUCUUAUGGAUGCCUUACUUUUACAUUAUUUGUACAGUUCUUGCAGUGAGCUUUCCGGACCACUGUCUUGUAUGUUUCCUAAGAAAAGCAAAAAGGGAAGAGAUUGAAGAGAAAGUAGAUUUUCAACUACAAACUUUCAUCCAUUUGCUUUCAGCUUAAGCAAAUGUGCGCAAAGUUGUCAUGGAUUUUUGCAGUCAAUAAAAACCAAGCAAGAAGACUGAAUCCCAAGUCAUCUGGUAUAAAUGGAAGCAGUUUCUGUGAUAGUUCCACGCGGUCAGAAGGGUCAUCCUGGCUUAGGAGAGGGGCAGAAGAGGAAAUGCACGCGUGGAAACAGGAGUGGGCAGGGAGGAUGUGACACUGUCCUCCUCACCAGGCCACGUUCCUGGCACCAACCAUAGUGUUUGGGCAGAUAAGAAAAGAAACAAUUUGCUGAAACUCCCUCUGCUUAUAACAAAACUGACUGAAAUCAGCCGGAAUCAAUAUGGCCAAAUGCAGUUUGCGCACAGCAAGCUUGCUGAUGUCACAGCCUGAAUUUCUACUGCAUGUUUCAUACCAACUCCCUCCAAAUUUGCACAUGGGACCCACCAGGAAGCAUGAAGAGAGAGCCAUGCAUGCCUGAAGACUUCCCAGAUGUUCCCUUUGCUUCCACCAAUCACCUGCUAACCCCAGGAUCCAACCCUAAACCUUUUGUAAUAAAAUUACUGCCCUAAAGCCAGUACAAGACAGAUUUGAACUGGACUUUUGUUUCCUCAGAAGUUAACUUGCAAUGUGAAGCUUUCCUUUUCUCAAAAACUUGGUGUCAUAGUGUUGGCUUCUAGUGCAGUGAGCCCCUUUUGCUGGAUAACCUUACCUGGUAAUUUGACAUACUAGGUGGUUAGUAACUACUGACUGUCUCCAGGUUACAACACAGUUAUUACCCACUUGGGUGAAAAGAGAAGACAGGAAAUACAUUUUGGAGUUGGCUGGCAACCUGUUUACAAAGCAAUUUACAACAGUUCCUUAUUCUUAAGGGGCUAUUCUAAUACAAGACCUCAGAGAAACAGUGCAGUGUGACAAAGGAGGAAUUUAUCAAAGGAGACAGAAAAAGCAUCAAGGCAAGCUGUGAAAUGGUGCGGUAGGAACC
rnacentral:lncRNA from 10 species